UCGACUGUACUCGAACAGGAUCACUUCUAUAGUAGAUCCGCUUGUUCACCGUCACAGCGACAGACAACACCUCAAGUCGUGACGAUGAGGCACACAUCCUGCCAUAGCUUGAAGGGAGGCUCCCUGGCAACUCCUCACUCGACGGCAGCUGUCGGGGCAGCUUUGAGGAUCCCGGACCAAGUUGGCAAUGGGCCAUCAUGGACCAAUGGCACGGAUGAAGCUGAACGGGU
rfam:Colinus virginianus strain Texas jcf7180006213467, whole genome shotgun sequence.